GAAGCCCCUCCCCUUUGCUCGCACGCCCGCAACCCACGUGAAAAAGGGACGCGUGGCGUUCAGCCACGGCUUUAGCUGUUUUGCGAAAAGCCCUCCAGAUUCUAAGAAUCGCAAUGAAGUUAAGCUCGUCCAGCGCGCGCAGUAAUCGCGUUCGAAUUAUUUUUGUAUGGGCCCUCGAAUUAAAAUUUAUUUCGAUGCAAAGAAGGGAAAAUUGAUGAUGAUGUUGUUUUUA
rnacentral:lncRNA from 1 species